rnacentral:misc_RNA from 1 species
AUGACGAAAAGUUUCUCUUUCGCGACGUCCCCUUCGAGGGCGCCAAGGCGGACGAGCUUAUUCGCAGCAACAUCAAGGAUAUCAUCGCCUUCGACUUCAACCCGCGCCACACCUUCAUAUUCCGAAACACGCACUACAUGGGCGAUAUGUACCCGACGGUGCUCCGGCUGCAGCGUUGCAUGACAGGCAACGCUGUGAAGCACACGCUCGGCAUCACGGACAGCGAUAAUGUCGGCAAACUCGCCUUUCCUGCCACCCAGGCUGCUCCGUGCUUCAGCACCGCUUUCCGUCGUGUUCUGCAGAACGGCGACAGGCCGAUGCGGUGCCUGAUUCCCUGCGCCAUUGAUCAGGAUCCCUUCUUCGUUCUCACGCGCGCCGCCGCGCUGCGGCUGAAGCAGCUACCACCGGCCCUGCUUCACACGAAGUUCCUGCCGGCUCUCAAAGGCCUGGAGCACAAGAUGAGCAGCAGCGCAGAGGAGAAGGGCGUCAUUACCCUACAUGACACAGAUAAACAGGUGCGCAAGAAGCUGCGCCGCGCCUUCUCGGGCGGCUGCGCCACCCUAGAGCAGAUGCAAGAGGCGGGCGCCAUCCUGGAGGUGGAUGUGGCGUACCAGUACCUGCGGUUCUUCUGCCCUGAUGACACACUCUUCGCCGACGUGACGCAGCGCUACCGCAGCGGUGCCCUGAAUAGCGGAGAGGUGAAAGACCUGGCGGCGGAUUGCAUCAUCCGUGAGGUGCUGCACGAUUGGCGGAAGCGGCGCGCAACGGUGACGGACGAUGACGUGGUGGAGUUCUGCAGUAUCCGUAACAUUCUUCUCUGAGCCGUGUCCCGCGGAUGCUGAGGCGGAGGGCGUGGCAGUGAAGUCUGUGUAAGGCUUGUAAACGUGCAGGGAUGCUGCACGCCUUCUUUUUGCAAGGCAUGCGGCAGCGCACACUGCCUGGGUCGCCGCUGCAGGCGAAUGAUGAACGGAGACUUCUGUAGAGUUGUAUCUCUGCGCGUGCGUGGAUAUGCGUGGGUGACGGUGCUGGUGAUGGUUGUGAAGUCUGUCAGCUUCCGUGGGUGUUGUUCUCCCCCCUGUGCCUCGUUCCGCGGCGGCAGCCCCACCAGUGCGCUGGUCGGUGCAUGCGCUUCUACGCGAGCACACACAUAUGCGCGCAUUGGAGGCGGCGAAGCGAGCAGAUAUCGAUGGGGAAGGGGCAAGAGCGCGAGAGAGCCACAGGUGCGUCGGAAGGCGGUAGAGCUGCGCACCGCCUCCAAAGACAGAAGCGCGAAGGAAUCGCAGAAUCGUAGAGGAAGCGCAGGGCGAAAAGACAGCAAGACGACGCGCAACGCGAGAGCACGGCAGCGGCAGCACUCUGCUCUGCGCUGCUCUUUCGGGCACAGACGUGUUGCACAAGCGGACACAUCGCUGAGGCAACGCACUGAGAACUAAGCAAAACGAUGAAAACAUGUGUUCUGCGGCUCAGCUGAGGAUUUGAAGUGCGCCACCACCACCGCCACCACCUUGCCCAUCUCGAGUGGGGUGUGGAAGGUUUGGUGAAAAGGGGGAAGAGCGUCAGAGGUCACUUUCAUCACGUCUUGCCGCGGCUUGUUGUUUUAUCGUUCGCGCUGCAUUAGCGGUCGUGCGUUGUGUGCGUACGUGCGGGUCAGGCCAGCCACUGCCUUCCUCCCCGCACCAAC